UACGUAGGGGGCUAGCGUUGUCCGGAUUUAUUGGGCGUAAAGAGCGUGUAGGCGGCCAGGUAGGUCUGCUGUGAAAACUCGAGGCUCAACCUCGAGACGUCGGCGGAAACCAUCUGGCUAGAGUCCGGAAGAGGAGAGUGGAAUUCCUGGUGUAGCGGUGAAAUGCGUAGAUAUUAGGAGGAACACCAGUGGCGAAGGCGGCUUACUGGACUGAAACUGACGCUGAGUCACGAAAGCGUGGGGAGCGAACAGG
rnacentral:rRNA from 1 species